rnacentral:rRNA from 1 species
GACGAACCGUGCGAACGUUAUUCGGAAUCACUGGGCUUAAAGGGCGCGUAGGCGGGUCGGUAAGUCAGGGGUGAAAUCCCACGGCCCAACCGUGGAAGUGCCUCUGAUACUGCCGGCCUCGAGGGGGAUAGGGGCGUGCGGAACUCAGGGUGGAGCGGUGAAAUGCGUAAAUAUCCUGAGGAACACCGGUGGCGAAAGCGGCGCGCUGGAUCCCUUCUGACGCUGAGGCGCGAAAGCCAGGGGAGCAAACGGG